rnacentral:rRNA from 2 species
CGAGACCUCAGGUCAGGCGGGGUUACCCGCUGAGU